rnacentral:rRNA from 1 species
UACGUAGGGGGCAAGCGUUGUCCGGAAUCAUUGGGCGUAAAGCGCGUGUAGGCGGCCCGGUAAGUCCGCUGUGAAAGUCGGGGGCUCAACCCUCGAAUGCCGGUGGAUACUGUCGGGCUAGAGUGCGGGAGAGGCGAGUGGAAUUCCAGGUGUAGCGGUGAAAUGCGUAGAUAUCUGGAGGAAUACCGGUGGCGAAGGCGGCAUCCUGGACCGACAUUGACGCUGAUGAGCGAAAGCUAGGGGAGCAAACGGG